GACGAACGCUGGCGGCGUGCUUAACACAUGCAAGUCGAACGGAAAGGCCCUGCUUUUGUGGGGUGCUCGAGUGGCGAACGGGUGAGUAACACGUGAGUAACCUGCCCUUGACUUUGUGAUAACUUCAGGAAACUGGGGCUAAUACCGGAUAGGAGCUCCUGCUGCAUGGUGGGGGUUGGAAAGUUUCGGCGGUUGUGGAUGGACUCGCGGCUUAUCAGCUUGUUGGUGGGGUAGUGGCUUACCAAGGCUUUGACGGGUAGCCGGCCUGAGAGGGUGACCGGCCACAUUGGGACUGAGAUACGGACCAGACGCCUACGGGAGGCAGCAGUGGGGAAUAUUGCACAAUGGGCGGAAGCCUGAUGCAGCAACGCCGCGUGCGGGAUGACGGCCUUCGGGUUGUAAACCGCUUUCGCCUGUGACGAAGCGUGAGUGACGGUAAUGGGUAAAGAAGCACCGGCUAACUACGUG
rnacentral:rRNA from 1 species